UACGUAGGGUGCAAGCGUUAAUCGGAAUUACUGGGCGUAAAGCGUACGCAGGCGGCUAUGUAAGACAGGUGUGAAAUCCCCAGGCUCAACCUGGGAACUGCGUCCGAUACUGGAUGGCUUGAAUCCGGGAGAGGGAUGCAGAAUUCCAGGUGUAGCGGUGAAAUGCGUAGAUAUCUGGAGGAAUACCGGUGGCGAAGGCGGCAUCCUGGACCGGCAUUGACGCUGAGGAGCGAAAGCCAGGGGAGCAAACGGG
rnacentral:rRNA from 1 species